UACGUAGGGUGCGAGCGUUUGUCCGGAAUUAUUGGGCGUAAAGGGCUCGUAGGCGGUUUGUCGCGUCGGGAGUGAAAAUCCAGGGCUUAACUCUGGACUGGCUUCCGAUACGGGCAGACUAGGGGUAUGCAGGGGAGAACGGAAUUCCUGGUGUAGCGGUGAAAUGCGCAGAUAUCAGGAGGAACACCGGUGGCGAAGGCGGUUCUCUGGGCAUUACCUGACGCUGAGGAGCGAAAGUGUGGGGAGCGAACAGG
rnacentral:rRNA from 1 species